rnacentral:rRNA from 1 species
UACGGAGGAUGCGAGCGUUAUCCGGAUUUACUGGGUGUAAAGGGCGUGUAGGCGGGAUGGUAAGUCAGAUGUGAAAACUAUGGGCUCAACCCAUAGCCUGCAUUUGAAACUGUCUGGCUAGAGUGCAGUAGAGGUUAGUGGAAUUCCUAGUGUAGCGGUGGAAUGCGUAGAUAUUAGGAGGAACACCAGAGGCGAAGGCGGCUAACUGGACUGUAACUGACGCUGAGGCACGAAAGUGUGGGGAGCAAACAGG